UUCGUUGAUGCAAACCAUAAAAUCUAGUCACCCGCAACUCUUCCACCUCAUGUUUGUUGUGCCUCUGACUUUUCUUUAACACUUCUCACUAUUAAUAGGUGUUUUUUUCAUGAUUCUCCAACACUGCUUCUUUCUUAUUUCCUGUUUUCCUCCUGUGUCUUCUUUUCCACGCCUCAAUUGGUGUGUUUAUGACAACUCAGAGAUAAGUUUGUUGAAAUUGACUUGAAACCAGUGUGUAAGCAUUGCUUUGAGCACUUGCCUGAAGAGCUGAAACGCAGACUUGCUCGGCGUGAACGUGAUGCUAAAGACCGCAGGAAAAAGCCGGCAGUGUGCCUGUAGCUUCACCACUCCAUCCAUGGGAACAAGUUUGUAGAGUUUGACAUGAAGCCUGUUUGUAAAAAGUGUUAUGAGAAGUUUCCGCUUGAGCUCAAGAAAAGGCUCAAGAAGCUGGCGGAGUCAUUGGGACGGAAGUGAGCUGCUGUCUGAUGAUCAUCUGGAUGGGCUCCUGCUGUGGUAAAAUAUCCAGGGAAGAUGUUAUAGUAAGACAAAGCCAUUUUGGAGAAACUGAAUAAAGGAAAAGUUUAGCUCUAGAUCAACACCAGUAAAGUUGUAAGUGAAGGUUUAUCAGGUUUGCUUAAAAAAAACCAUCUGUUUACAAACAAACAUUGACCCAAAAGGUGAAAUUCAUUGAAAAAUAUGCAUUUAUACAGAUUUAUGCAGCUGUUUCACCUCAUACCCAUCUUUUUUAAAAAAAAGUUUUUAUAUUUUGUUUGAUUGUACAUUCCUAAAUUCUUAAUAUGUUUUCCGUGGAGUGUUUCAAUGUUUAAGUCUAUUCUCCCUCUACUAUCACCAUGUCUGUUAGCUGUGUUAGUGUGCCUGCCAGAAUAUAGAGUUUAACAUGACUCUUAAUUACAAAUGUGCGUUAAAAACAAGAGCUGUUUAAAUGAGAAUUGCUUCUAUAUUACAACUUGCAUCUUUACUCGGUAUAGCUGUGCUUGUGUUUGUCUUUGACUAAUCUACUGAAUACAGAAUCCUUUUACCUUUAUGUACUAUGUAAUUUUUAGUAAAAUCUUCAAGUGUUGAAAAUAUUGAGUAAAAAUAAUAUCCUUAUUGAAUAUAUAUUCCGAAUCAAAUUGUGAAAUUAAUGGCUGUGUAAAAUCUAUGCACCUAUCUUGGGUCUUGUUCUUAUACUUCAAAAUCUAAUGACGUAUGCUGUCUGAAUGUGGUUAUGUAUUUGAAAUGCCUGGAGUUGUUGGAUAUAUAUGGAUUAAUUAACAUUUAAAACAUUCGAAGGUGAACGGCUAAUAGGAAAUCAGAACUGUUUUUUAGCUAGUAUUUUAACCUGUUUGAUGUGAAAUGAUCACUAACAACCCCUCUAAUUGCUUUGGUUAUUUAUAAACUUGAAUGCGUUCUGAAAUGACAGCCACACAAAAUAAGUUUUUUGUGCUAAUUUUACUAUUGGAAGAUUUUGUGUUCACAUUUCAGUUGUGAGCUUGCAUUUUAUUAGCAUGAAAUUGAAAAUGACAGUUUACUGCAUCUUAUGUACAGUGCUGAAAUGCUUCAUUAAAGAUCAAUAAAGUAUUCUGAACACAUAAUGUUGAACUUGAGUUUACAGGAAUUAAUGAGCUUAUUAUGUAUUUUUUUUCCCUCUGCAACAUAACUUCAGUGCUUGGGGGUGUUAAAUUUUCCAAAGUUUAAACCCGUAGCUGUAAGAAGAGUUUGUCUAAUAUCCUUAUGCUCAUAUAAACAUUUAUCUCCCUUGACAUAUUUUGCUUCAUCACAGUCCUAUUCAUUUAAUCUCAUGUGAUUAAUAUUCAUAAGUUUCACUUAUAAACUACUAUGAAUUAAAGUUUGAAAAAUAUCA